CGCUGCAAGGAUAAAAACACGUCCCGGUAGGUAGUCCGGGAGUACCUUUUGGGUAUCAGUAACCUGCCUCCUUUGGUUGUCCGUUCCCUGCACGGAAGAU
rfam:Oscillibacter valericigenes Sjm18-20 DNA, complete genome.